rnacentral:rRNA from 1 species
CAGCCGCCACGGUAAUACGGAGGGGGCUAGCGUUGUUCGGAAUUACUGGGCGUAAAGCGCACGUAGGCGGCUUGGUAAGUUAGAGGUGAAAGCCUGGAGCUCAACUCCAGAAUUGCCUUUAAGACUGCCGAGCUAGCAGGUGAGAGAGGUAAGUGGAACUCCGAGUGUAGAGGUGAAAUUCGUAGAUAUUCGGAAGAACACCAGUGGCGAAGGCGGCUUACUGGCUCAUACUGGACGCUGAGGUGCGAAAACGUGGGGAGCAAACAGGAUUAGAUACCCCUGUAGUCCCUGUCUCUUAUAC